rnacentral:rRNA from 1 species
GACGAACGCUGGCGGCGUGCUUAACACAUGCCAGUCGAACGGAAAGGCCCUGCUUUUGUGGGGUGCUCGAGUGGCGCACGGGUGAGUAACACGUGAGUAACCUGCCCUUGACUUUGGGAUAACUUCAGGAAACUGGGGCUAAUACCGGAUAGGAGCUCCUGCUGCAUGGUGUGGGUUGGAAAGUUUCGGCGGUUGGGGAUGGACUCACGGCUUAUCCGCUUGUUGGUGGGGUAGUGGCUUACCAAGGCUUUGACGGGUAGCCGGCCUGAGAGGGUGACCGGCCACAUUGGGACUGAGAUACGGCCCAGACUCCUACGGGAGGCAGCAGUGGGGAAUAUUGCACAAUGGGCGGAAGCCUGAUGCAGCAACGCCGCGUGCGGGAUGACGGCCUUCGGGUUGUAAACCGCUUUCGCCUGUGACGAAGCGUGAGUGACGGUAAUGGGUAAAGAAGCACCGGCUAACUACGUG